rnacentral:ncRNA from 1 species
GUCCUGAAUGGUAUUGAGGACAAACCCUCUCGCAAGAGAGAGCCGGGAAAGAAGGUCACAUCUCGGCAAACAGAGUA